UUUAUGGACAAGCUACUAAGGGUCCGAGGUGGAUGCCUAGGCGCCAAGAGCCGAAGAAGGACGUGGCUACCUGCGAUAAGCGACGGGAAGCUGGAAGCGAGCGUUGAUCCGUCGAUGUCCGAAUGGGGCAACCCGACCGGAGUAAUGUCCGGUCACUCCUGGAUGAACACAUAGUCCAGGUAGAGGGCACCCGGGGAACUGAAACAUCUUAGUACCCGGAGGAAGAGAUAUUCCGUUAGUAGAGGCGAUCGAAAGCGGAGCAGCCUAAACCAUGCGCGUGCCAAGGCGGCAGCCGUUGCGCGCGUGGCGUUGUGGGAUCGUUCGGUGA
rnacentral:rRNA from 1 species